rnacentral:rRNA from 1 species
UGGGGAAUAUUGCACAAUGGGCGCAAGCCUGAUGCAGCCAUGCCGCGUGUGUGAAGAAGGCCUUCGGGUUGUAAAGCACUUUCAGCGAGGAGGAAGGUGGUGAGCUUAAUACGCUCAUCAAUUGACGUUACUCGCAGAAGAAGCACCGGCUAACUCCGUGCCAGCAGCCGCGGUAAUACGGAGGGUGCAAGCGUUAAUCGGAAUUACUGGGCGUAAAGCGCACGCAGGCGGUUUGUUAAGUCAGAUGUGAAAUCCCCGGGCUCAACCUGGGAACUGCAUUUGAAACUGGCAAGCUAGAGUCUCGUAGAGGGGGGUAGAAUUCCAGGUGUAGCGGUGAAAUGCGUAGAGAUCUGGAGGAAUACCGGUGGCGAAGGCGGCCCCCUGGACGAAGACUGACGCUCAGGUGCGAAAGCGUGGGGCAGCAAACAGGAUUAGAUACCCUGGUAGUCCACGCUGUAAACGAUGUCGAUUUUGGAGGUUGUGCCCUUGAGGCGUGGNUUCCGAGCUAACGNGUUAAAUCGACCGCCUGGGGAGUACGGCCGCAAGGUUAAAACUAAAGGAAUUUGCGGGUCUAGCU